rnacentral:rRNA from 1 species
UUGCCUACGGGCGGCUGCAGUGGGGAAUAUUGGACAAUGGGCGAAAGCCUGAUCCAGCAAUGCCGCGUGAGUGAUGAAGGCCUUAGGGUUGUAAAGCUCUUUUACCAGGGAUGAUAAUGACAGUACCUGGAGAAUAAGCUCCGGCUAACUCCGUGCCAGCAGCCGCGGUAAUACGGAGGGAGCUAGCGUUGUUCGGAAUUACUGGGCGUAAAGCGCGCGUAGGCGGUUUUUUAAGUCAGAGGUGAAAGCCCAGUGCUCAACACUGGAACUGCCUUUGAAACUGGAAAACUUGAAUCUUGGAGAGGUCAGUGGAAUUCCGAGUGUAGAGGUGAAAUUCGUAGAUAUUCGGAAGAACACCAGUGGCGAAGGCGACUGACUGGACAAGUAUUGACGCUGAGGUGCGAAAGCGUGGGGAGCAAACAGGAUUAGAUACCCUAGUAGUCAG